rnacentral:rRNA from 1 species
AGCGAACGUUGGCGGCAUGCCUAACACAUGCAAGUCGAACGAGACCUUCGGGUCUAGUGGCGCACGGGUGCGUAACGCGUGGGAACCUGCCCUUAGGUUCGGAAUAACUCCCCGAAAGGGGUGCUAAUACCGGAUAAUGUCUUCGGACCAAAGAUUUAUCGCCUUUGGAUGGGCCCGCGUUGGAUUAGCUAGUUGGUAGGGUAAAAGCCUACCAAGGCGACGAUCCAUAGCUGGUCUGAGAGGAUGAUCAGCCACACUGGGACUGAGACACGGCCCAGACUCCUACGGGAGGCAGCAGUGGGGAAUAUUGGACAAUGGGCGAAAGCCUGAUCCAGCAAUGCCGCGUGAGUGAUGAAGGCCUUAGGGUUGUAAAGCUCUUUUACCCGGGAUGAUAAUGACAGUACCGGGAGAAUAAGCUCCGGCUAACUCCGUG